AGAAGCUAUAUUUUUAAAACUCAGAUAUAUAGAUUUAGAGAUAGUAGAUAUCCUUUUAUUUUUAUAGAUAAAUUCUUAUAAAAAUAAAAUUCCUAUAGCUGUCAAACAUGCAGUCAGUCUGAAACUCUUCAAAUAUUAAAAUGCAUGGAUGGAUCCCUAACUGCUCUUUUAUGGUUUCUUAGGAGAAUCACAUUGUAAGAGAAUGUUUUGUCAAGGCAAAGUCUUCCUUCUUGGGACAAUGCUUUAUUUCCCUUAUCCCCAAAGCUCUCAUAUAGAUCUUGAUCCAACUUGCUUACAAGCAAAGUCAGUUUCUUUGGCCACUAUGAUCUAGAGUUCUAUUCCAAGUUUGGGAUUUUGCAAACAUUGUUAUACGUAAGCUUAAAUAUGCAUUACCACCACACACUAAAUAUCCUGAGGGAAAUUCUCAUUGACAUAGACUGUGAGCAGUUCACCUCCCUCCCGCUUAACAGAACAAUCUUGAAUGAAAUGUCCCCUCACAAUGCUGUCCUCCACUCUGUGUCAGGAAUCAAACACUCCAACUCAGAUCAGUUAUUACAGCAAAUUCCUCACAUGUUUCCUCUGAGUUAGCGAACCAAAAAAUAUGAUGAAACUCUAAAGGAUACAAAAGAAUGUUCUUCUCAAGGCAACCAAUCUUUGGUUACUGCCAUUCAAAUUAUUUUUUCUACUCCAGCACAUAUUUUCUCCAAAGGUGGCAGUCAAAUGCAUCUCAGACUAUAAAUAUACAUGUAUUAAAAUCUCACUCAACAACAACCAUCAACAUAGGACUGGCUUCACGGGUAUGUGACCUGUGCUAUUGCACAGGACCUGUGCUUAGAAAGGCCCACACAUGGUUUGGUGCUCUGUUGUGACCUUUGAGUGCUCUGUUGUGAUCUUUUGGAGUUCCUGAUAAUUUGUGAACAAGGGCCCCACAUUUUA
rnacentral:lncRNA from 1 species